rnacentral:rRNA from 1 species
CCUACGGGUGGCAGCAGUAGGGAAUUUUCGUCAAUGGGCGCAAGCCUGAACGAGCAAUGCCGCGUGAACGAGGAAGGUCUUCGGAUCGUAAAGUUCUGUUGAAGGGGAAAAAGAGCGGAGAGAGGAAAUGCUUUCUGAUUGAUAUUACCCUUCGAGGAAGUCACGGCUAACUACGUGCCAGCAGCCGCGGUAAUACGUAGGUGGCGAGCGUUAUCCGGAAUGAUUGGGCGUAAAGGGUGCGUAGGCGGCCUGCUAAGUCUGGAGUGAAAGGUACCGGCUCAACCGGUACAGGCUCUGGAAACUGGCGGGCUAGAGAGCAGGAGAGGGCGGUGGAACUCCAUGUGUAGCGGUGAAAUGCGUAGAUAUUAGGAAGAACACCAGUGGCGAAGGCGGAUGACUGGACGACAACUGACGGUGAGGCGCGAAAGCGUGGGGAGCAAACAGGAUUAGAUACCCGGGUAGUC